rnacentral:tRNA from 1 species
GCGGUAGUAGCUCAAUUGGUAGAGCAUCGCGUUGCCAUCGCGAAGGUUGCGAGUUCGAGUCUCGUCUGCCGCUCCA